rnacentral:ncRNA from 1 species
CUUUAAGGAUAAGCCAGAAUCCGUUUCUUCACGGAGGAACGGACAGUGCAUUUUGGGAACUACAAACUUAUCUCCCGGCUUAAAAACAAAGCCAAAUAUAAAAUAGAUGUGCUCCGGUUAGUAAGUGAUGAACGCCGGAGCAUGUC